GUGUUUGUGCGAGUGCAAACAUGGGGAGGAUGUAGUAACAGUGUGGUGUCAACAGUGUUUAUAGGACCUUGACAUGUGUGUAACUUUCCCUUAGCACUUCCUCAUGCUGAAACAUUUCCCAAAGAAUCGUUGUGGGAAGUUUUGCUGUGGGAAAAGGAUGGCUCGCGGGACACGUACGUCCCCCCACACCCCCUCCUUUGUUUUUGAAUCAGAAAUUGAAUGAACAUUGUGCUGCAGCUUGCCUGGACGCCUCAGUUUAUCUCAGAUCCACACAGAGGAUAAAGAAUACAUGACUGACUAUUCUUCAUCUCCUCCUCCUCCUCAUCCUCCUCACAAUUGAGUGCGGUCAGCAAAGGUCAUCCUGGGCCGUGCACAAUGUGCAUCCACUGGUGCUUCCAUUGUUAAAAGAAAAUGGGGAGCCCUGGGGUGACUCCCUGUCUCCACCGGUUUCAUGCGAGUGAGCCAGUCAACUUGCUGGAGAGGAGCUGCAAUCAUCUUGUAGAAGGAAGG